CCUACGGGAGGCAGCAGUGAGGAAUAUUGGUCAAUGGACGAGAGUCUGAACCAGCCAAGUAGCGUGAAGGAUGACUGCCCUAUGGGUUGUAAACUUCUUUUAUAUGGGAAUAAAACAGGGUAUGCAUACCCUCUUGUAUGUACCAUAUGAAUAAGGAUCGGCUAACUCCGUGCCAGCAGCCGCGGUAAUACGGAGGAUCCGAGCGUUAUCCGGAUUUAUUGGGUUUAAAGGGAGCGUAGGUGGAUUUUUAAGUCAGUUGUGAAAGUUUGCGGAUCAACCGUAAAAUUGCAGUUGAAACUGGCAGUCGUGAGUACAGUAGAGGUGGGCGGAAGUCGUGGUGUAGCGGUGAAAUGCUUAGAUAUCACGAAGAACUCCGAUUGCGAAGGCAGCUCACUGGACUGCAACUGACACUGAUGCUCGAAAGUGUGGGUAUCAAACAGGAUUAGAUACCCGGGUAGUC
rnacentral:rRNA from 1 species